GCCACCAUAGCUCAGUUGGUAGAGCAGCUGAUUUGUAAUCAGCGGGUCGUGGGUUCAAAUCCUACUGGUGGCUCGA
rnacentral:tRNA from 1 species